GGUACAGAGCCCAACACGAGGCUUGAACCCACAGACCAUAAGAUCAUGACCUGAGCUGAAGUAGGAUGCUUAUCCACCAGGCUGAACGACCCAGAUAUAAAGAUCAAAUGAAAAAAUGUUUGUGAAAUUUGAAACCUGAAAGCACGAGAAAAGGAAGAAAAGUCCAUGUUAAUUCAUCAUAUAUUCUAAUACACUUCAGCUGCAGAUUAAAGAAACCAUGCCAGUUGCUGCUACCGCAGACAGAGAACGGAGAAAUCCUCUACGAGCCCCAUGGGUUUACAGAAGUCUAUCCAUCACUCUGUCAGUCUUCCGGAUCAUUAUUCAAGUUGCUAUCCCCAAUUUUGCUGGAUAUAUCAGAUCAACUCCAGCUCCAUAGGAGCAGAACUUUUCGUCUUUUUUGUUCACAGUCCUGUUCCCAGGAUCUAGAACACCACCUGAUACCAGAUAACUGUUGGUUGAAUGGAUGACUAAAUUAUAAAAUUCAAGUCAAGGAACAGAGAAACAGGAGUUUGGAGUGGAACCGGAUCACACACAUCUUCUGAUCACUAUAUAAAUAUUUUCCCAGAUGAUCCUCAUAACAAGUAAGGCUACAAGAUGGAUAGUGUGCUUUCUUCCUAUAUUUAAAGACAGCAAAGUGGAAAGCUGAUGAAUAUUAUAAGGACACACUGAAUAGUGCAUCGUUACUAUGGCAAUAAAAAAGAGAACCAAUGUCCACAUAAUUUUUGAAUUAACAGUAAAAGAGGGAGAGACACUAAUCUAUGCAACAAUGCCAAUUGAUAAAACAGAAAAAGUCUGCUGACCUCUGAAUUAAACAAAUACCAUAAUACACCAGCUGUUAGAUCUGAGCAUUGGGACAG